GCAACUGGAUAGCUCAGUCAGUAGAACAUGAGACUCUUAAUCUCAGGCUUAUGGGUUCAAGCCCCACAUUACGCA